ncrna:unclassified sequences Glutamine-II riboswitch (downstream peptide RNA)
UUCCGUUCAUCCCACAAGGGACGCAUGUUUGCAUAGGUAUGGAACGGGACCUAUG